rnacentral:rRNA from 1 species
GACAGAGGUGCCGAGCGUUAGGCGGAAUCACUGGGCUUAAAGCGUGUGUAGGCGGGUCGUUAAGUGUCUUGUGAAAUCCCACCGCUCACCGGUGGAACGGCUGGGCAUACUGGCGACCUUGAGAGGCCUAGGGGCAGACGGAACAAGCGGUGGAGCGGUGAAAUGCGUAGAUAUCGCUUGGAACGCCGACGGCGAAAGCAGUCUGCUGGGGGCCUUCUGACGCUGAGACGCGAAAGCGUGGGGAGCAAACAGG